UACCUGCAGCUCAGGUGGUGACCGCUAUUAUUGGGCCUAAAACGUUCGUAGCCGGUUUGGUAAAUGCCUGGGUAAAUCGUGUAGCUUAACUAUACGAAUUCCGGGUAGACUGCUAAACUUGAGACCGGGAGAAGCUAGAGGUACUCCUGGGGUAGAGGUGAAAUUCUGUAAUCCUGGGGGGACCACCAGUGGCGAAGGCGUCUAGCUAGAACGGGUCUGACGGUGAGGAACGAAGCCCUGGGGCGCAAACCGGAUUAGAUACCCGGGUAGUCCAGGGUGUAAACGCUGCUUGCUUGAUGUUAGUUGGGCUCCGAGCCCAAUUAGUGUCGGAGAGAAGUUGUUAAGCAAGCUGCCUGGGAAGUACGAUCGCAAGAUUGAAACUUAAAGGAAUUGGCGGGGGAGCACAGCAACGGGUGGAGCGUGCGGUUU
rnacentral:rRNA from 1 species